UGUGGAGCGACCCCUGCGAGGGGGAGCCGCGAAUCGGGUCAGGCCUUAACCGGAGCAGCCCUAAGUGGUGUACUCUUGUGUGGGGGUCGCUCCGUGUUG
rnacentral:SRP_RNA from 1 species